rnacentral:rRNA from 1 species
GUAGGGAAUCUUCCACAAUGGACGAAAGUCUGAUGGAGCAACGCCGCGUGAGUGAUGAAGGUUUUCGGAUCGUAAAACUCUGUUGUAAGGGAAGAACAAGUGCGUUAGGUAAUGAACGCGCCUUGACGGUACCUUAUUAGAAAGCCACGGCUAACUACGUGCCAGCAGCCGCGGUAAUACGUAGGUGGCAAGCGUUGUCCGGAUUUAUUGGGCGUAAAGCGCGCGCAGGUGGUUUCUUAAGUCUGAUGUGAAAGCCCACGGCUCAACCGUGGAGGGUCAUUGGAAACUGGGGAACUUGAGUGCAGAAGAGGAUAGUGGAAUUCCAAGUGUAGCGGUGAAAUGCGUAGAGAUUUGGAGGAACACCAGUGGCGAAGGCGACUGUCUGGUCUGUAACUGACACUGAGGCGCGAAAGCGUGGGGAGCAAACAGGAUUAGAAACCCGAGUAGUCC